AUACUUACCUGUCAGGGGAGAUACCAUAAUCACAAAGGUGGUUUUCCCGGGGCGAGGCUUAUCCAUUGCACUCCGGAUGUGCUGACCUCUGCGAUUUCCCCAAAUGUGGGACAUUCAACUACAUAAUUUGUGGUAGUUGGGGGACUGCAUUUGCACUCUCCCC
rnacentral:snRNA from 1 species